rnacentral:rRNA from 1 species
GAUCCUGGCUCAGGAUGAACGCUAGCUACAGGCUUAACACAUGCAAGUCGAGGGGCAGCAUGAACUUAGCUUGCUAAGUUUGAUGGCGACCGGCGCACGGGUGAGUAACGCGUAUCCAACCUGCCCAUCACUUGGGAAUAACCUUGCGAAAGUAUGACUAAUGCCCAAUGAUAUCCCACGAAGGCAUCCGAAUGGGAUUAAAGAUUUAUCGGUGAUGGAUGGGGAUGCG